GAGGGUGUAGCUCAGUGGUAGACUGCAUGCUUAGCAUGCACGAGGUCCUGGGUUCAAUCCCUAGUACCUCCA
rnacentral:tRNA from 1 species